rnacentral:rRNA from 1 species
UACGGAGGGGGCUAGCGUUGUUCGGAAUUACUGGGCGUAAAGCGCACGUAGGCGGAUUGGAAAGUUGGGGGUGAAAUCCCGGGGCUCAACCCCGGAACUGCCUUCAAAACUCCCAGUCUGGAGGUCGAGAGAGGUGAGUGGAAUUCCUAGUGUAGAGGUGAAAUUCGUAGAUAUUAGGAAGAACACCAGUGGCGAAGGCGGCUCACUGGCCCGGUACCGACGCUGAGGCGCGAAAGCGUGGGGAGCAAACAGG